UCCCCUUCAGUCGUCGGCACAAGAGCGGUAGCCUUGGCCGCCCGCGGGUUUCCUGUGUUGCAUACCCACCGAAGGGUAUUCGGUCGUCGCAAGGAUGGACGUUCCCCCGUCGCCGUGCCCCCUCUGCGUGGGCGCGGCGUGGGGCGAACCACGAAGGCGGCCUCGUGUCUCCGGGACGGCGUCGACCGACGCGUCCCGGCCCACGACGUGCGGCCUGAGCUCUCGGAUGCAGUGCACCAGGAGGGCAGGGGGUYGCYSGACGACCUCCGUUUUGCCCGAACUCGGCGUCAAUCGCCCGCACCGAACGACCGCCGUCGUCGUCUCGGGACGUCGCGCCCCUCGUCGGGCACGUCGGCCCCG
rnacentral:misc_RNA from 1 species